GCUAUUCUGCUGAGCACAAAUUUGGUUGGUUGACCAUCUCUUAGACAUUUGACACCUUUUACUCGGCUUUAUGCUAGGGACUCUGCGCCAUGCCUACGCUUCCCAAAGGACCCACAAUUCACUUAAAACUAAGUGUAGGCAGUGGCGUAGCUUCCAUUGAGGCAACCGAGGCAGCUGCCUCGGUAAAAAAAAAAACACCUUUUACGUUGUUAAAAUGUCGAUAGCUUCCGGGGGCUGCGCCCCCCAGACCCCCUGCCUCGGUAAUAUUCGAACCCAAGCUACGCCCAUGGUAGGCCUAGGCCUAUAUACCUAUUUUAACGAUUAGGGACCCCGUUUAACGAAAAGUCCAACGAAUAAGAUUUAUCUCUUGAAAAAUGUUCCCAACAUUGGGGGGGGGGGGGGGUGCAACGAUUAAUUGACCAUUAAGAAUAUGUUUGUGGAUGCCGCCCGCGGUCUGGAUUUGCCCCCCCCCCCCCUCCCUUUCCGCAUAAAAAAAAAAAUCCCAAACUUUCAGAAAAAAUACUAUUCUGCAGGUUGCAUUAAAAUGUGAUCGUCAAGCAUUUCGAUGUGCUUUUCUCAUUGGAUGUUUACACACACCCACACUUUGGUGUUCAGUUUUGUCAAUGACAAUAUGAUUGAUUUUUAGGUAUCUUAGAUCAAGGUAACUCUUGCUGAGUUGAGUGGUCUGAAAAAAGAACAGAUUUUAAAAGUCUUUGGAGAUAUUAUCUAGAAUAUACAGUAAAGCAUAUAUUCACUUAGCACUUGCUUUUUUAACUGAUGUAAUCUUACGUGUUUUGUGUCUCAAUGACACCUCGACAGAUGUCUUCUUUUUGUUCAGUUAAAGGGGUGGCACGGAAUAGAGAAAAUGUUUGUAAGGAGGUAUCGAAUUUGUAUUUAUACAUGCUUCGUAAUUAGAAAUAUUAAUACCGUCAUAUUGUAGUUUACUGUACUUGUUAGAUGACCAGAUGAUCACGUGUACGUACAAAAUCUACAACAGCAUUUUGUACAUGCCCAAAUAAUUCGUUUUCUAUUCUAAAUUCAUACAUUUAAGCAUUUCAACAGUCUAUGUGUAUACAGGCUUCGCUGUAUACUUCAUUAACGUGUCAGUGAACGGUUGGGCAUGAAGUGGGUAACGUUUGAUGUCAUGCAAUGCAAUUUGAAGUAAUGUCCUUUUCUGGGAGAAUUGGUUGUUUUUAGUUUUUAUUUUCCAGACAGUCCAGCAAAUAUAAAACUGCAGCCCCCCUCCCCCUCUCCUGUUAACACCACGUACCAUCCUUUCAAAUAAAACACUCGACAAGAUUAACAAAUGAACAAUUAUUUUAACAAAAAAAGUUAUCAUGGUAUCUAAAUCCCGUCUCUCUCUGUGCGUAACACGGACGUAACUAUCCCCCUUGUUCACGGGUUUAUCUUCCUAAUAUUUCCGCUUCCCCGCCAAAGCUAGGGUAUAGACACGAAGACAUAACAAAAUCAAUUCAUCAGGAAAUCAAAUACAUAAAAUAAACAGGCUACGCUAGUGAUAUCCUCUGAUUUCACAAUGGUGCGGAUAACGAAAUAUUUAAUGUUUGCUUAGAAGAAAAAGUCAUUUACAUAAUGAUCUGGAUUUUCGUUGCCCAAAUAAUACCCGUCUAAAACAAACACUGGGGGUUUUAAACAGCCAUUUUCAAAAUAGAAAAAUAUAUGGCCUGUCAAUGUAUGCUUAAUAUGUACUUGUGAUAGUCUGUAAAGUGGCCGUAGUUUCUGAUAUUUCAACUCUACCAAUUGCUAUUUCUACAACGAGAACACUAUAAUGAAUAGCCAAAACACAUAUUAAAACUUGGAAGUAUGUAUUUAAUUUUAAUGUAAAUAGAUUUAUUUUUAUAGCUGGAAAUAUGCAUUUUAAAACACCUGAUAAGUGUGUGCGAUCGGAUACUGUGUGUCAGUGUGUUUGCUGCCUGUAAAGAUAUGAACAAAGUGUGCAAUCCUGCGCGGUUCCACACACACACACACACACACACAGAGAGAGAGAGAGAGAGAGAGAGAUUCACUCUUCUCAACCGUCGCCAUUUUUCAUUUGGAUAGUGAUCUAAACAGUUCACAGUGAAAACGGAAACGUACAGUGGCUCAUUACCACCAUUAAUUGAUUUUCCUGUGUUAUAAGGUUUUAAUUGCAGGCAUAUACUCCUGACCCGCACCAUCUAUACAGUCAUUAGAUCCGCCAAUCUUUUUGACCUAGACAUGUAAUAGGAUUCCGUAUCGAUCUUAUGUGUCCACUGAUCAUACAAUGACAAUUAAGGGAAGGAAUUAUCCGGGAAAUCGCACGCUGAUGAGAAUUUAAAAAUUUAGGAGUCGUAUUAAUCAAGGGGAUGAGAAAAAUACGGGGAAUUCCCAGCCAUUGAAAUAGAAGUACUUGAAUUAAUACCAAGAUUCAUACGCACAUUGUUCACACCUUACUGCAACAGAUUCAUGAGGAAGUGGCUAUUGCAACAGAUUCAUGAGGAAGUGGCUAUUGCAACACAUUCAUGAGGAAGUGGCUAUUGCAACACAUUCAUGAGGAAGUGGCGAUCAUUCAAUUUGUAAAGAUACCAGAUGCAAAAACAUUGGAAAUGCAAAAUAAAACAUGGAUAUAAAAUGCAGUAUGAUACGAGCUGAGACAUUCAUUGCUUAUUAUCAUAGCUGCAUGUUGAGUAGUAAAAGAUUUUCCCCACAAUAAUGAAGUGAUGGUCCUGGUUGGUAAUACAUCUUGGCUGCAGUUGUAAUAAAAUAUAUUCAAGGGAACAUUGAAAAACGAGAGGAAACUUUAUCCAACUAAUAAGGCCGAUAAUAGCAUGGGCUACCACACUCGUAUAAUUAUAUCAAUACACGUCCCCACCCUGUAAAUGUCAACUGAAGUUCAUAUCACCCAGUAAUAUUUGGAGUAAAAUCUCCCCAGGGUUAACCAUAUCAUAUUACCUUGAUGGUUUUGCCCAAGAAAGAUAACUGUUCAUUGAAAAACCUAACAAACAAAACCAAAAUCACACCAAUAUUAAACAGGUUUAAUUUUUUGGGAUUAAGAUUCUUUCUUGCGAGUAUACAGCAUAACAUCGAACAUUUAUAGAACCCUGUUCGAAAAUAGUGAUUGCAAUUACAGGUUUUGAUACAUCUGAUAAAAUUCUUGUGAAUAACAUUUCUAAAAAUUUUAAAUGAAAAAUACAUUAUCAUUGCAAACCCAUAGCCAGUUCUAUUCAUAAUGAAAUGGCAAAUGGCAGACAAAACGUUGCAAAAUUGGACACAAAGUCAUACACACACACAAAAAAAAAUAAAUCUCAUGACAAAGUAAACUUUUUAAAAAAAGUAACAACUAAUUGAGCCCAAGAACCCACUGAAACACAUAAAUAUAUCAUUUACAGUUGUACUAACAUGUAUAAUGUAUUGUACAUGUAUUUGUACAAUAUAGUCAAGUCUAACCAUGUCCCACUGCAUACAGGUACUAGUAACGAGCCCUCAAUUUGUUUUCAUUUGCCAAAGGAUAUUCAUAAUUAAAGUGCAAUCAGUUUUAGUAUGUACACAGUCAAUAAAUACCCGAAAGGAUGAAUGUUGUAAAGGAAUAAGGCCAAAAAAAACCAUAUGUUUGUUUCCUAUUACUAAGGCAAAAAAAUCUAUGCAAGUACAGUAGGUUUUUAUCUUAUUUUUUAAUUGUAAUUUUUUAGGGGGUUGAUUUACACAGCUUGAAGAAAUGGACCUAAACUAAGAACUAAAUAGCAAGAGUUGAUCACGCACCAAAAAGUAAGAUCUGACCCUGCACCACAGGUGUAGUAUCCUUGCAGUGGAAAAGCAUUCACUUCGUAACCAGGAGGUUGUGAAUUUGAGACCAUUCAUGCCAUGCCUGCGUCAACCUAAGACGUAAACAUAGGAAGUGAUUGCUCCUUCUCCAAACAUUUGGCAUUUAAAGAAGAGAAUCACGGAUCUUUUGGAUAUGACCUUAAAAGCGGAGAUCCAGCUUUGUGCUAUUGACCAUAUAUAUCUAAGAAACCACUCGAGUUGUUAUAUGAUGUAAUCACCGAGUUCUUUGAAUGUUAAUCACAGUAACUGGGCUAGCUCCACGCAACUGGGGCUGUCAUUUUGUUUGAUUUAUAAGGUAAUCUGGAUUAGAAUUAAAACAAAUUCCGAUUUGGAAAUGUUUUUUCCCUUGCAAUUUGGUUAGAAAAAUCCAGAUUGGCAACUUUUGAGUCCAGGUAGAUUGGAUAACAGGAAACAAACAUAUACUUCUUUCUGGCCUUAAUCUUCAUAAAAUAAAUUAUUGAUGCAAGAGUUAUGUGCGUUAUCAGAGGGACAUGGUGCCUUAAGUCACUGUAUUAGAAUAGAAAACUUUUUAUUAAAACUAAAAGAUAAAAAUAACCUUCCACAUCUAAUUAAAUGGACAAGUUACACCCUUACCCUCUCACCAAAUCUAAUAUCAGAUUAUAACAACACAGAUGGAAAGAAAUGUAUAUUAAUGAUUGUGAUAUCGAAUACAUGUUGGAAUGCAGAAAUACAUUUUGAUUUCUCUAAGAAAAAUACCAUAAUUUCUCAUGACAAUAAACAUAUUUGAGCACUUGAGAAAAAAAUCAAGUUUGUGAAAAUUCAUGGAAGAUUUCACAUACUUUUGUACAGAUUUGCAGGAAAUGCAAAGACCUCCAUUGUUUUCUUGCUAAAUAUAAAUACUGUACUUUACUAUUACCAUAUAUACUCUCAGCUUUAUAUUCUUUUACAAACCAAAGUAUAGAUCAUUGAAAAAGGUUUCAUGUAUUUUUGCUAUCUACUUCUUUUAUAAACAACAGUGUAAUUAUAUAUAUAUUUUCUGCAUGGUACACAUUUCUGUUUUAUUCCUGGUCAUACAAAAUCAGUGGAAUCUAAUGUUAAAUAGAAUUGCAAAACACAGAGUUCAUGAAUCACUGGAAAACUCACAAGUCAAAAAGGGCCCCGAAAUAAAUCUGAAAAAGGAAAGGGGCCUUCCUCUGCCUAAUCCAAGAAUUAUGAAAAUAAUUCGAAGGAAACUUAAGUUAUCUUGUGCCAUAGAAAGUGUUGCUGGAUGAACAGACAGACAGAUUUACUACAGGAAUCCAAGCAUUACCUUUAAAUUCUAUGAAAAUCUUCUCAAGUAAUCUCAAAUUAUUGCAUGCCAUAGAAAGUGCUAUUUUCUUAUUAAUAUAAUUUUUUUUAAAAAGUCCCAUAACUCUGUAAAGACAAUGCUGAUAAAAUCUAGAGGUCUUCCUCUGCCUAAUCCAAGUAUUAUGUAUCACAUUUAUGAAAAUUUUCCCAAGGAAAUUUAAGUUAUUCCGUGCCAUAGAAAGUAUGUGCUGACGGAUGGACAGACAGACGCUGUGAUUACUAUUGGGCACACGCCUAACAAUUGUACUAAAUUUACGAAUCGUUGAAAUAACUACAUUUACUACCACUACUAUCUAAUAUAUAUAGCAAGUCUAAACUGACUCUUUCUUCUUUACUAUCACAGAUAGUAUUUCCUAUGGAGUUUGUAAGAAAAGUUCUGAUUGGUUAACAGCUGAAUGAUCCUGCUGAAGCCAGAAGUAAAAUAAAGUGAUGUCACAAUGCAAUGUGAAUCUCCAUGUCAGGAAAAAACCCAUUUAAUAAUGACUUUUAUUUCUUGAUAACAUAGUAUCCACUUGCCAGAAAAUUUUGUGAGAUCUGCUCCCUUCUCUUACUCAUUACUCUAUUCUCUCAUUCACCAACACAAGCCACUCACUGAAUUAGAAAUAUAGGCUAAUGACUAUAUAUAAAAUCAAUAGUCUUAUCAGGUUUCAUGUUGGCAAUUUUCUAAUAGUCACAGAUAAGAGAUGUAAGUACUGUGAUCAACUGCAGAAUUGUAUCUUUGAUUAAUACCUUAGUAAAUGAAAGACUGAAUUUCAGGUAAAAUCAAGUGAUUUGUUAAAAAUAAAUCUCGACACACCACAUCCAUCUCGACAUACAUUAAAGUCAACACAAGAUUUGAAAAUUCCAUAAAUAAAUAAUGUACUAUUUCACAAAACAUUACAUUCUAUAUUUAAAAAGUAAUUCAUUGUAUGUAAAUAUAGAAAAUAUACCUAUUGGGUUUUUAAUACAUAUGUACUCAUGUUGACAUCUAACACUUGACCUAUCUACCCAUAUAGAAUUACUAGAACAUCCUUCAUUCAAACUCAAAUUUCAUUUCCUUAUUGGAUUUAAAAUAAAAAAACAAACUGAUUUAGGUCAGGGAAGUAAAAGCUAAAAUAACACAGUAAUUUAAAAAAAAAAGCUUACUAAAGAAUUCACUUCACUUUUAUGAAUUAAAUUCAAUCCUUUCAAAGGUUUGAUAAAUGUACAUACAUUGUGCUCAUUCUAACCAAAAUUCUCAAGGCCAUGCAUACCCCAAAUUAUAUAAUUAUGUACUAUAAGAGAGUAUAAAACUCUACAGAAAGCGCUUACACAACAUGCUUUUGAGGCAGAGCUGUGUGAUAAUUGUAUUAAGGUGUUUUGCUACUGGUACUCUGUGCUGGUAACCAAAUGAGUCUGUCUGAUUGUGACAUCAUACUUGGUUUCAUUUCAUACUGACUCCAUAACCUAUGCGAGUCCCUUUGAAGGAGAAUUCCAUCCAGCAAGCACCUAUUCAUCUCUCCAGAGUUGAUUCAUCGAGAAUAGCCAGAAAUGUGUUGGCCGCCUCGCGUACUCGGUCCUCAUCGUGGCAUGAAAGUUGUCUGGCUAUAUCAACAAUACCAGAUGUCAUAAUCUCCUCUUUCAAUGACUCUGAAAUACACAAUUGUUGAAAGUGCAAUUCUAAAAACCUGAAUAAUCUAUAAGCAACUACUAUUACUAUUUAAUAGAAUAAUAAUAUUCCCUCAAGACACACGAUCACACACAUUCACAUUUAGACGAAAUAGCUCAUUAAUAAUAAUGGAAUUUCGACUGAAUGGAACUAAACUAUAGCAUAUUGAUUUUCCUCAAUCCCAACAAGAAACAAAAAAUUUGAGUGAGUUAUAUAUAUAAAUCAUGUUAUGUAAAGGGGUUUAUUAAAGUGUAAACUGUCCCAAUUUACUUUAUACUAUAUAAAAUGAGUAGAAAUUACUUUCAUUCCCUAUAAUUUAAUGUAGUAAAAUCACAUUUGAUGUCAUUUGAUAUAUGAUGCUGCAGAAAAUAUGAAAUUUAUGACACAAUAAUAUUGCCAUAGCAACAAAAUGAAAACAGGAGCCAAACAUAUUGUGAUGUACUUCCUAGGAUGUGAUGAUAGAAAGGACUUAAUGGCAACUUAGUUAAUACGAUUUAAAGAAAGCUGAUAAAGUUAAAAGAAUCAAUUAAAUUCUGUUUUAAAGUGAAACUAAGUUGUCGUAGAUUAAAAAAAACAACAAAAAAACUACCAAUAAACAAACACCCCUCCCCCUCAAAAUAACAACAAAAAACCACAGUGUAGAGAACUGAAAAAAUCCAGAUGGUAAAAAUAAGUUAUUCUUGAUGUUUUGAAAGCAUAAAAAAUAUUUAUCAAAAGCAUAGCAACAAAAGGGGACAUGAGCAGUGUUCGAAAUUGUCAUUAGAUACGACAUUGUCAUUGGAUACCACAUUGGAUACAACAUUGUCAUUGGAUACGACAUUGUCAAUGGAUACGAUAUUGUCAUUGGAUACAACAUUGGAUACGACAUUGUCAUUGGAUACAACAUUGGAUACGACAUUGGACAUAAGUGUAUUCAGUUAGAUCCUUCUGGUUUGUUCUAGACUGAUUGAAAACUUACGUGUGGAUAUUACGAGUUUAUAUUGUCAAUUAUUUAAAAUUUCAUGAAAAAAUCUCUGGUACCUGAGUACCAAAAUACCUCAAAGAGAAAAUGAAGAUUUUGUUUUGUUGUUACAAAGAGCUUUGAGAAUAAAAACUUGAUAAAAUUC